rnacentral:tRNA from 1 species
GCCCAGUUAGCUCGGUUGGUACAGCACGAGACUCUUAAUCCCAGGGUCUUGGGUUCUAGCCUCACAUUGGGCA